UCUCUGGAGGACUAGUGGUUAGGCCUUGGUGCUCUCACCACUGCGGCCUGUGUUCGAUUCCUGGCCAGGGAA